CGGGGGAGGCCGGAUCCUGGGCUGUGUCCCCGCGCCCAGUGCUCCGACGCCUGCGCUGGUGGAUUCUCCCUCCCGCCCCGCAGCCCCCU
rnacentral:pre_miRNA from 1 species